rnacentral:rRNA from 1 species
AACCUGGGAACUGCAUUCGAAACUGGCAGGCUUGAGUCUUGUAGAGGGGGGUAGAAUUCCAGGUGUAGCGGUGAAAUGCGUAGAGAUCUGGAGGAAUACCGGUGGCGAAGGCGGCCCCCUGGACAAAGACUGACGCUCAGGUGCGAAAGCGUGGGGAGCAAACAGGAUUAGAUACCCUGGUAGUCCACGCCGUAAACGAUGUCUACUUGGAGGUUGUGCCCUUGAGGCGUGGCUUCCGGAGCUAACGCGUUAAGUAGACCGCCUGGGGAGUACGGCCGCAAGGUUAAAACUCAAAUGAAUUGACGGGGGCCCGCACAAGCGGUGGAGCAUGUGGUUUAAUUCGAUGCAACGCGAAGAACCUUACCUGGUCUUGACAUCCACAGAAGAAUCCAGAGAUGGAUUUGUGCCUUCGGGAACUGUGAGACAGGUGCUGCAUGGCUGUCGUCAGCUCGUGUUGUGAAAUGUUGGGUUAAGUC